ACCGCCAAGUAGGCAAAGCUCGACGCGCAAAUUUCGCUGAUAGUUGUGUCUAAUGAAAGUUACAAUCACAGCUGCAAAAUCUGUGUGUGAAUCGUGCCAAAAAA